CAUCAGAUUUUUACCUUGUCAGCACAUGGGUUCAAUCUUGCAACUUUCAGUUACUAACCCAACACUCUAACCACUACGCUACCUGCCAAAUCCUUCAUUGAUUAUUCAACAAUGAGACCAGACAGUUGUACAACUUCAGACGAUGAGACCAGACAGUUGUACAACUUCAGAUGAUGAGACCAGACUGUUCGAUGCUCAAGACAAAAUUAAAUCUCCACCCCCCCCAAAAAAGGAUUAUAGAUCACACAAUACUAGACGCCAAUAGAAAACAAAAAAGGUUCCGUGAUAGCAGACUGAUUGAAAGCAAUCCAUAUAACACAUUUAGGGGAUAGGUUGGGAGACUUGGCCUUUAUAACUUUCACAUCACAGUUCUGGCAAUUCUAUGAUACAGAGCCAUUACAUUGAGACAAAGGGAAAUCAAAACCUCGGCAGUGCUGCUGGUCAGUGGGAGGUGAACAAUAACAAUACAAACAUUUGGAUAUAAACCCCUGCAGUGCUGCUGGUCAGUGGGAGGUGAACAAUAACAAUACAAACAUUUGGAUAUAAACCCCUGCAGUGCUGCUGGUCAGUGGGAGGUGAACAAUAACAAUAAAACAAGUGGGAAAGAUCGUAUUCUUUGAGGAUAAGAAUUUCCAAGGUCAUAGUUAUGAGUGCAACAGCGACUGCCCAGACCUGCACUCCUACUUCAGCCGCUGUAACUCCAUCAGGGUGGAGAGCGGCUGCUGGGUGCUGUACGAGCGCCCCAACUACGGAGGCUACCAGUACGUGCUGACCCCUGGAGAGUACCCUGACCACCAGCAGUGGAUGGGCUUCAAUGACAACAUCAGAUCCUGUCGCUCUAUUAAAAAUGUCUAUGGAAAUUCCUGCAAGAUCAGGUUCUAUGACAGGCCAGAUUUAGCUGGCCAAAUGGAAGAGUGGAGCGAAGACUGCUCAUCGGUCCACGAAGCCUUCAAGUUCUGUGAAUUCCACUCUGCUGUAGUGAUGGAUGGUGCCUGGGUCUUCUAUGAGCUGCCCAACUACAGGGGUCAGCAGUACUUCCUGGAGCACGGAGAGUACCGUAACUUCACAGACUGGGGCGCCACCUCCCCUGUCGUGGGCUCCCUCCGCAGGAUCACAGAGUUCUAGAACCUUAAGACCCCUAGUGUUUUAGUUCUAGAGCCCUACGACAACAUCCUUUCCCAUGAACCUCUCUGCCAUUCUUAUGACACCCAACUCUGUGUGAGAGUGUUGCAGUCCAACAAAUAAAACCCUGUCUAAUCCGCA